GAUGAACGCUGGCGGCGUGCCUAAUACAUGCAAGUCGAGCGAACAGAUAAGGAGCUUGCUCCUUUGACGUUAGCGGCGGACGGGUGAGUAACACGUGGGUAACCUACCUAUAAGACUGGGAUAACUUCGGGAAACCGGAGCUAAUACCGGAUAAUAUUUCGAACCGCAUGGUUCGAUAGUGAAAGAUGGUUUUGCUAUCACUUAUAGAUGGACCCGCGCCGUAUUAGCUAGUUGGUAAGGUAACGGCUUACCAAGGCGACGAUACGUAGCCGACCUGAGAGGGUGAUCGGCCACACUGGAACUGAGACACGGUCCAGACUCCUACGGGAAGCAGCAGUAGGGAAUCUUCCGCAAUGGGCGAAAGCCUGACGGAGCAACGCCGCGUGAGUGAUGAAGGUCUUCGGAUCGUAAAACUCUGUUAUUAGGGAAGAACAUACGUGUAAGUAACUGUGCACGUCUUGACGGUACCUAAUCAGAAAGCCACGGCUAACUACGUG
rnacentral:rRNA from 1 species